rnacentral:rRNA from 1 species
AUUGAACGCUGGCGGCAUGCUUUACACAUGCAAGUCGAGCGGCAGCGCGGGGGCAACCCUGGCGGCGAGCGGCGAACGGGUGAGUAAUGCAUCGGAACGUGUCCGGGAGUGGGGGAUAACCCGCCGAAAGGCGGGCUAAUACCGCAUAUGCUCUUUGGAGGAAAGGGGGGGACCGGCAAGGCCUCCCGCUUUCGGAGCGGCCGAUGUCCGAUUAGCUAGUUGGUGGGGUAAUGGCUUACCAAGGCGACGAUCGGUAGCUGGUCUGAGAGGAUGAUCAGCCACACUGGGACUGAGACACGGCCCAGACUCCUACGGGAGGCAGCAGUGGGGAAUUUUGGACAAUGGGGGCAACCCUGAUCCAGCCAUGCCGCGUGCGGGAAGAAGGCCUCGG